rnacentral:rRNA from 1 species
AGAGUUUGAUCCUGGCUCAGAACGAACGCUGGCGGCAGGCUUAACACAUGCAAGUUGAACGUGAUUUGUUGGGUGCUUGCACCGAGCAAUGAAAGUAGCGCACUGGUGAGUAACACGUGGGAACGUACCUUUUGGUGGGGAACAACAGUUGGAAACGACUGCUAAUACCGCAUAAGCCCUGAGGGGGAAAGAUUUAUCGCCGAAAGAACGGCCCGCGGAAGAUUAGGUAGUUGGUGGGGUAACGGCCUACCAAGCCGACGAUCUAUAGCUGGUCUGAGAGGACGAUCAGCCACAUUGGAACUGAGACACGGUCCAAACUCCUACGGGAGGCAGCAGUGAGGAAUAUUGGGCAAUGGAGGCAACUCUGACCCAGCCAUGCCGCGUGAGUGAAGAAGGUUUUCGGAUUGUAAAGCUCUUUCGGGUGUGACGAUGAUGACGGUAGCACCUAAAGAAGCCCCGGCUAACUUCGUGCCAGCAGCCGCGGUAAUACGAAGGGGGCAAGCGUUGUUCGGAAUUACUGGGCGUAAAGGGAGUGUAGGCGGUUAUGUAAGAUAGUGGUGAAAUCCCAGAGCUUAACUUUGGAAUUGCCAUUAUGACUAUGUGGCUAGAAUUACAGAGAGGAUAGUGGAAUACCCAGUGUAGAGGUGAAAUUCGUAGAUAUUGGGUAGAACACCAGUGGCGAAGGCGACUAUCUGGCUGUAUAUUGACGCUGAGGCUCGAAAGCAUGGGGAUCAAACAGGAUUAGAUACCCUGGUAGUCCAUGCUGUAAACGAUGAGUGCUUGUUGUCGGUGUAAAAUCGGUGACGAAGUUAACGCGUUAAGCACUCCGCCUGGGGAGUACGGUCGCAAGAUUAAAACUCAAAGGAAUUGACGGGGACCCGCACAAGCGGUGGAGCAUGUGGUUUAAUUCGAAGCAACGCGAAGAACCUUACCAAGUCUUGACAUCCUUCUGACCGGUACUUAACCGUACCUUCUCUUCGGAGCAGGAGUGACAGGUGGUGCAUGGUUGUCGUCAGCUCGUGUCGUGAGAUGUUGGGUUAAGUCCCGCAACGAGCGCAACCCCUGCUAUCAGUUGCCAUCAGGUAGAGCUGGGCACUCUGAUAGGACUGCCGGUGAUAAGCCGGAGGAAGGUGGGGAUGACGUCAAGUCAUCAUGGCUCUUACGAGUUGGGCUACACACGUGCUACAAUGGCAACUACAGAGGGGAGCGAGACCGCGAGGUCGAGCCAAUCUUAAAAAGUUGUCUCAGUUCAGAUUGUACUCUGCAACUCGAGUACAUGAAGUUGGAAUCGCUAGUAAUCGCGGAUCAGCAUGCCGCGGUGAAUACGUUCCCGGGUCUUGUACACACCGCCCGUCACGCCAUGGGAGUUGGUUCUGCCUGACGGCGUUGAGGUAACCCGCAAGGGAGCCUGGCGACCACGGUAGGGUCAGCGACUGGGGCGAAGUCGUAACAAGGUAGCCGUAGGGGAACCUGCGGCUG